GGGCCAAUGCAACGGAGACGCAGGCACGCAAAUUACCCAAUGAACGAAGUUCGAGGUAGUGACGAAAAAUAACGAUAGCGGACUCAUCCGAGGCCCGCUAAUUGGAAUGAGUACACUUUAGAACCGUCCCCGAGGAUCUAUUGGAGGGCAAGUCUGGUGCCAGCAGCCGCGGUAAUUCCAGCUCCAAUAGCGUAUAUUAAAGUUGUUGUGGUUAAAAAGCUCGUAGUUGGAUCUCAACAGCUCUGGGUCGGUUAGCUUUGUGUUAUACUGAUCUAUGAGUUGUGCUUUUGCUGGAGGUUUAGGGGUGCUCUUAAUCGAGUGUCUCUGGAUGCCAGCAGGUUUACUUUGAAAAAAUUAGAGUGUUCAAAGCAGGCUGUUAUGCCUGAAUAUUCGUGCAUGGAAUAAUAGAAUAGGAUGUCGAUCUUAUUUUGUUGGUUUUCGAGACUCGACAUAAUGAUUAAUAGGGACAGUCGGGGGCAUUUGUAUUCAAACGCUAGAGGUGAAAUUCUUGGACCGUUUGAAGACAAACUACUGCGAAAGCAUUUGCCAAGAAUGUUUUCAUUAAUCAAGAACGAAAGUUAGAGGUUCGAAGGCGAUUAGAUACCGCCCUAGUUCUAACCAUAAACGAUGCUAGCUAGCGAUCUGCUGACGUUUUUACUGUAGACUCAGCAGGAAGCUUCCGGGAAACCAAAGCAUUUGGGUUCCAGGGGAAGUAUGGUUGCAAAGCUGAAACUUAAAGGAAUUGACGGAAGGGCACCACCAGGAGUGGAGCCUGUGGCUUAAUUUGACUCAACACGGGAAAUCUCACCAGGCCCGGACACUGGAAGGAUUGACAGAUUGAUAGCUCUUUCUUGAUUCGGUGGGUGGUGGUGCAUGGCCGUUCUUAGUUGGUGGAGUGAUUUGUCUGGUUAAUUCCGAUAACGAACGAGACUCUGUCCUGCUAAAUAGUGUCAUCUUCUCUUUUGAGAUGACAAUUCUUCUUAGAGGGACUGGGCACUCUUAGUGCCACGAGAUUGAGCAAUAACAGGUCUGUGAUGCCCUUAGAUGUUCUGGGCCGCACACGCGCUACACUGAAUAAAUCAGCGUGUCACCCUUUCUGAAAAGAACGGGUAAACCGCUGAACCUUAUUCGUGGUAGGGAUCGGGGCUUGCAAUUAUUCCCCGUGAACCAGGAAUUCCCAGUAGGCACAGGUCAUAAGCCUGUGUCGAUUACGUCCCUGCCCUUUGUACACACCGCCCGUCGCUACUACCGAUUGAACGUUUUAGUGAGGUCCUCGGAUUGUGUUUCAUUUGGCUCACGCUGACUGAUUGCGAAAAGACGACCAAACGAAAGCAUUAAAAA
rnacentral:rRNA from 1 species